rnacentral:rRNA from 1 species
UGGUGGCGAGUGGCGAACGGGUGAGUAAUGCGUCGGAACGUACCGAGUAAUGGGGGAUAACGCAGCGAAAGUUGUGCUAAUACCGCAUACGCCCUGAGGGGGAAAGCGGGGGAUCGUAAGACCUCGCGUUAUUCGAGCGGCCGACGUCUGAUUAGCUAGUUGGUGGGGUAAAGGCCUACCAAGGCGACGAUCAGUAGCGGGUCUGAGAGGAUGAUCCGCCACACUGGGACUGAGACACGGCCCAGACUCCUACGGGAGGCAGCAGUGGGGAAUUUUGGACAAUGGGGGCAACCCUGAUCCAGCCAUUCCGCGUGAGUGAAGAAGGCCUUCGGGUUGUAAAGCUCUUUCAGCUGGAGUGAAACGGUGAGCUCUAACAUAGCUUGCUAAUGACGGUACCAGCAGAAGAAGCACCGGCUAACUACGUGCCAGCAGCCGCGGUAAUACGUAGGGUGCGAGCGUUAAUCGGAAUUACUGGGCGUAAAGCGUGCGCAGGCGGAUUGUUAAGCAAGACGUGAAAUCCCCGGGCUUAACCUGGGAAUGGCGUUUUGAACUGGCAGUCUAGAGUGCGUCAGAGGGGGGUGGAAUUCCACGUGUAGCAGUGAAAUGCGUAGAGAUGUGGAGGAACACCGAUGGCGAAGGCAGCCCCCUGGGAUGACACUGACGCUCAUGUACGAAAGCGUGGGUAGCAAACAGGAUUAGAUACCCUGGUAGUCCACGCCCUAAACGAUGUCAACUGGUUGUUGGGGGAGUGAAAUCCCUUAGUAACGAAGCUAACGCGUGAAGUUGACCGCCUGGGGAGUACGGUCGCAAGAUUAAAACUCAAAGGAAUUGACGGGGACCCGCACAAGCGGUGGAUGAUGUGGAUUAAUUCGAUGCAACGC